AGGGCUUCCCCAGCCAGGACUUCGGCUCAGACUGUGGCAUAUUCAUGUUGAUGGUAGGUCAUAACGAGCUGUAAUGCACAAAUAUUGUAUCUAGAAUAACUUUCCAACAUGGACUUUUUUAAAGUUAUCUCACAUGUUGUCUCAUAAUUUUUUUUUUUUAAGUCUGCCAUGUACAUCGUUCUGGAGUAACAGUUUGACUACUCAGUUGUAAGUACUUUUCAACAGGCAGUGUCAUCCUCAAGGUUGUAUUUUGUAUUGUGCACUAAAAUGAAAUACCAACAAAAAUUUCAGCAUGACAUGCCUGUUUUGCGGCGAUGGUGGUGCCUGUUGCUCCUGGAGAACAAUUCUUUGAACAGGUAGACAGUUUAAGUAAACUAGAUGCCCUAAUUAACUGGAAGACAAUCAAUAUAUUGUACUUAAAGAUAUAUUGUCAUUACAGUUGUGGGAAAAUCUUCGCCCACUGGACCAAAGAAUGUCAAGAGCUCAUUGCUGGAAAGCAUACUCCGGUCUUCAGUCUAAAGAGGAAGGCAGAGCAGCAGGACAUAGAGGUUAGAAAAUUGCCUUCUAAAAACAGUAUUAUCUCAGUGGGAGUCCUUCAAAAUGCACACAGUUGUAUGGAUCAACAUUGUCUCGAUGUAUUUGGUAAUUGAUGUUACUUUUCAAAUUGACUUGUCAAGGAAACCAUGACGCAGACGGCAUCGGAUGUCCAAAGAAUGUGCAUGGCAGAUUCAAUGCAAUUCUGUGUCUACCAGACAUCGAACAACACAGGAGAGAGGUGUGUUGCAGACUCAAUUUAAUAAAUGCAAUUAUCGGGGCCUAUUCAGUGAUUUUCCAUGAAGUGACCACUUUUUACAUAUAGUUUAAAUGCACGAAUCAUGCGGGAAAAUUAUUUAUACAUUCAAAUGUGCUGUAGAGGUAUAAUCAAUUGGACAGCGUGUUUGUUUAAUAUUAUGUUUGUCUCUCAUUUGAUCAGAUUGCUUUACCCUGAGGUAAAAUUGAUAAAAUGGGUCCAGUGCAAGACGUGCAGGGGCUGGCUGCAUCAGGAUUGUGCCGGGAUUGACAUGGAGCCGUUUGACUGCGGCUGCGAGGACUCCAUUGAGCAUCCUCGGUAUAACAUAAUUUAUCAAGGAAACAUAGUAUCAGUCAAAAAUACGAGGC